rnacentral:rRNA from 1 species
AUUGAACGCUGGCGGCAGGCCUAACACAUGCAAGUCGAGCGGAUGAAGGGAGCUUGCUCCUGGAUUCAGCGGCGGACGGGUGAGUAAUGCCUAGGAAUCUGCCUGGUAGUGGGGGAUAACGUCCGGAAACGGGCGCUAAUACCGCAUACGUCCUGAGGGAGAAAGUGGGGGAUCUUCGGACCUCACGCUAUCAGAUGAGCCUAGGUCGGAUUAGCUAGUUGGUGGGGUAAAGGCCUACCAAGGCGACGAUCCGUAACUGGUCUGAGAGGAUGAUCAGUCACACUGGAACUGAGACACGGUCCAGACUCCUACGGGAGGCAGCAGUGGGGAAUAUCGGACAAUGGGCGAAAGCCCGAUCCAGCCAUGCCGCGUGUGUGAAGAAGGUCUUCGGAUUGUAAAGCACUUUAAGUUGGGAGGAAGGGCAGUAAGUUAAUACCUUGCUGUUUUGACGUUACCAACAGAAUAAGCACCGGCUAACUUCGUG